rnacentral:rRNA from 1 species
UACAGAGGUCUCAAGCGUUAUUCGGAUUUAUUGGGCGUAAAGAGCGUGUAGGCGGCCAGGUAGGUGGGUUGUGAAAACUGGAGGCUCAACCUUCAGAGGUCGACCCAAACCCCCUGGCUAGAGUCCGGAAGAGGAGAGUGGAAUUCCUGGUGUAGCGGUGAAAUGCGCAGAUAUCAGGAAGAACACCCGUGGCGAAGGCGGCUCUCUGGGACGGUACUGACGCUGAGACGCGAAAGCGUGGGGAGCGAACAGG